rnacentral:rRNA from 1 species
GACGAACGCUGGCGGCGUGCUUAACACAUGCAAGUCGAACGGUGACCCAGGGCUUGCCCUGGUGAUCAGUGGCGAACGGGUGAGUAACACGUGGGCAACCUGCCCCUGACUUCGGGAUAACUCCUCGAAAGAGGAGCUAAUACCGGAUACGACCACUUCGGACAUCCGAUGGUGGUGGAAAGUUCUUCGGUCAGGGAUGGGGCCCGCGGCCUAUCAGCUAGUUGGUGGGGUAAUGGCCUACCAAGGCGACGACGGGUAGCCGGCCUGAGAGGGCGACCGGCCACACUGGGACUGAGACACGGCCCAGACUCCUACGGGAGGCAGCAGUGGGGAAUAUUGCGCAAUGGGCGAAAGCCUGACGCAGCGACGCCGCGUGAGGGAUGAAGGCCUUCGGGUUGGUAAACCUCUUUCUAGCAGGGACGAAGCGAAAGUGACGGUACCUGCAGAAGAAGACACCGGCUAACUACGUGCCAGCAGCCGCGGU